rnacentral:rRNA from 1 species
AUGAACGCUGGCGGCGUGCCUCAUCCCUGCCAGUCGCGCGAACAGACGAGGAGCUUGCUCCUCUGACGUUAGCGGCGGACGGGUGAGUAACACGUGGAUAACCUACCUAUAAGCCUGGGAUAACUUCGGGAAACCGGAGCUAAUACCGGAUAAUAUAUUGAACCGCAUGGUUCAAUAGUGAAAGACGGUUUUGCUGUCACUUAUAGAUGGAUCCGCGCCGCAUUAGCUAGUUGGUAAGGUAACGGCUUACCAAGGCAACGAUGCGUAGCCGACCUGAGAGGGUGAUCGGCCACACUGGAACUGAGACACGGUCCAGACUCCUACGGGAGGCAGCAGUAGGGAAUCUUCCGCAAUGGGCGAAAGCUUGACGGAGCAACGCCGCGUGAGUGAUGAAGGUCUUCGGAUCGUAAAACUCUGUUAUUAGGGAAGAACAAAUGUGUAAGUAACUAUGCACGUCUUGACGGUACCUAAUCAGAAAGCCACGGCUAACUACGUG